AAUGAACGCUGGCGGCAUGCCUAACACAUGCAAGUCGAGCGAGACCUUCGUGUUUGGUGGCGCACGGGGGGGUAACGCGGGGGAACCUGCCCUUAGAUUUGGAAUAACUCGCGGAAAGGGGUGCUAAUACCGGAGAAUGUCUUCGGACCAAAGACUUAUCGCCUGUGGAUGGGCCCGCGUUGGUUGAGCUAGUUGGUAGGGUAAAAGCCUACCAAGGCGACGAUGCAGUGCUGGUCUGGUAGGAUGAUCAGCCACACUGGGACUGAGACCCGGCCCAGACUCCUGCGGGAGGGAGCAGUGGGGAAUCUUGGACACUGGGCGAAAGCCUGAUCCAGCAAUGCCGCGUGAGUGAUGAAGGCCUUAGGGUUGUAAAGCUCUUUUACCCGGGAUGAUAAUGACGGUACCGGGAGAAUAAGCACCGGCUAACUCCGUG
rnacentral:rRNA from 1 species